rnacentral:rRNA from 1 species
GACGAACGCUGGCGGCGUGCUUAACACAUGCAAGUCGAACGGAAAGGCCUGCUUUCCCUUGUGGAUUGCGGGUACUCGAGUGGCGAACGGGUGAGUAACACGUGAGUGAUCUGCCCCCAACUUGGGUAUAAGCCUGGGAAACUGGGUCUAAUUCCCGAUAGGACUGCAGGGUGGUGCCUGUGGUGGAAAACGAUUUUCUAGUGGUUGGGGAUGAGCUCGCGGCCUAUCAGCUUGUUGGUGGGGUAAUGGCCUACCAAGGCGGCGACGGGUAGCCGGCCUGAGAGGGUGGACGGCCACAUUGGGACUGAGAUACGGCCCAGACUCCUACGGGAGGCAGCAGUGGGGAAUAUUGCACAAUGGGCGGAAGCCUGAUGCAGCGACGCCGCGUGGGGGAUGACGGCCUUCGGGUUGUAAACUCCUUUCGACCGCGAGGAAGCCACCUGGUUGGAAGGGUGGUGACGGUAGUGGUAGAAGAAGCACCGGCGAACUACGU